rnacentral:misc_RNA from 1 species
CGCGAACAAAAACGACGAGCCUACUUCUCAAAUUUAACGAGAAAGAACUCUAUUCUUAAGGAAAAAAAAAGGGGCUAAUUCUACACUCAUUGCUGCUCCAUCGCUUCUCAACAUUGAAAUUCCGACCCCAUAAUCACUACAUCUUUCGCAGGCAGACCCUCUCCUUUUCUCUUCAGAGAGGAACAGGGCUUUGCUUUGCAGAUCAGAUCCAAAUCCUGCGAUCUGUGUUCCACGUGCACUGAGAAUCGUCAGUUUGGAUACUUAGGAAGAGCUAAAGGAUGGGUAUUUUGUUUACUAAAAUGUUCUCUUCGCUCUUUGGCAACAAAGAGGCCCGGAUCCUUGUUCUCGGACUCGAUAAUGCUGGCAAAACCACGAUUCUCUAUCGGCUUCAGAUGGGUGAAGUUGUGUCCACAAUUCCAACAAUUGGAUUUAACGUCGAAACAGUGCAGUACAACAAUAUCAAAUUUCAAGUGUGGGAUCUUGGUGGACAAACAAGUAUCAGACCCUAUUGGAGAUGUUAUUUUCCUAACACUCAAGCCAUAAUUUAUGUUGUUGAUUCAAGUG